UCCUUGGAAGUAUAUUGGUGAGUAUCUCCGCCUGUCACGCGGAAGACCGGGGUUCGAUUCCCUGCCAAGGAG
rnacentral:tRNA from 1 species